ACUACGUACCUGGAUGUAAAAUAGAAGAAGAAAAAAGUUGAUAGUUUUCACGGGUAGGUCAGUGUUGUAAGUGUAUCACUAUACACUAUAGUGGGGAAGAUAAGAUACACAGAAUAAUUUAGUUUAUAAGCUGUAUGCAACGAUGAAUCAUUGUCAUUUUCAACAAUGAUUCUGAGCGGAGUAGUAGAACGAACGUAAAGAAGAACUUGGUGAAGAGGGUGAACUGCUGAAAAUGUCGAUAAAUGUAUCAAAUAUAGUAUCGCCGGGUAGUAAAUCCUCAUGUUU